AGCAGUCGCCGCGGUAAUACAGAGGGUGCGAGCGUUAAUCGGAUUUACUGGGCGUAAAGCGUGCGUAGGCGGCUUCUUAAGUCGGAUGUGAAAUCCCUGAGCUUAACUUAGGAAUUGCAUUCGAUACUGGGAAGCUAGAGUAUGGGAGAGGAUGGUAGAAUUCCAGGUGUAGCGGUGAAAUGCGUAGAGAUCUGGAGGAAUACCGAUGGCGAAGGCAGCCAUCUGGCCUAAUACUGACGCUGAGGUACGAAAGCAUGGGGAGCAAACAGGAUUAGAUACCCGGGUAGUCCCUGUCUCUUAUAC
rnacentral:rRNA from 1 species